rnacentral:lncRNA from 1 species
AUUUCAUUUGUCAUUAUAUCAUUAAGUACUUCUAAUAUUCUUCUUAAUAUAUACAAUUAGACUAAUUAUUUUUUUAAUUGAACAAAUGUUAAUAAAAUUUAUUUUUAUUAUUUUUCAGCUGGAAAAAUAUUAAUAAAAUUAAAUUUUCUUAUUUAUUAAUUUUAAUAUGUGGGUCCCGCCUUCUUCAAUUGUUUGUCUUCACUAAAAUCACCACUGAAACACCACCAUUGAUACCAUCAUCAUCAAACUCAAAUAUUCAUCACAAUAAUUUUAAGAAUUCACCAUAAAUUUCAUUAUCGAAAUCACAAUACAACCAUUAGUAUCACAAAAAUCACAAACAACUACCAUAAAAUUCAACAUAUGUUGUUAGGUGUUAGCUUUCAAACCUCAACAAAUUUUCUUCUAAAUACUAGAAAUAUACAGAUAAUGACCAUGUUGAUGAGGAGGUUGAUAUUGGUGGUAAUGAGCCUCCUGUCUCCGGUUAUCCUUCAAUUGAGAUUGAAAGGGAUACAGAUCCUAAAAGAGAUAAACGUACAAAUAAAGGGGGUCCUAAUGGUAGUUCAGGUCGGUUAUUGACGCAUCGAUAUUCUUUAUUUUGUUUUUGUUGUGCAUUCUUGUAGUGCAUCCGACUUGUUCAUUGAUCUUCUUUAUGGUGACUUUUCAUGCUCAUAGCAUAUCUUACUUGCUUAUCUUCUAAGGCUGGUAAAAUAAAAUUUAAAGACAUCAAGUCAUCGAACUAGUUUUACCAUCUUUGUGGAAAGUGCUCUUUUUCACUUCAAAUUUUUAUUAAUUGGAAAUAUUUAACAUCCUAGAGUAUUGUAAUUUGAUGAAUCACAAAAAUGGAAUUUUUAUGGUGGUUGUUUGUGAUUUUUAUGAUACUAAUGGUUGUAUUGUAAUUUCGAUAAUGAAAUUUAUGGUGGAUUCUUAAAAUUAUUGUGGUGAAGAUUUGAAUUUGAUGAUAAUGGUGUUAAUAGUGGUGUUUUAAUGGUGAUUUUGGUGAAGAAGAAGCAAUGGGUGAUGUGGACUUUUCUUUUAAAAAACAUUGACAUAAUAUCUGAUGUGGUAAUGACAUGGCAAUGAUGUGGCGCGAGUGUAAAUCACUCUCCAUCAUGUGACUGGUUCUUACGUUUUGGGGAGGAAAUAGUUUUAUUUUUUUCAGUUUAGGUGUGUAAUAGGACACUAUGAUAGUUUAGGUGUGAGCUAGACUUUUUGUGUAUAGUUUGAGGUGGAAACGAUGAUUUUUCCCUAUAUAAAUACAUACAUAGAUAUAUACAUACAUAUAUAUAUACAUACACACACACAUAUAUAUGCAUAUAUGUAUGUAUGUGUAAGUGUAUAUAUAUAGUUAUAGUUAUAGUUAAGGUAUAUAUAUAGUUAUAGUUAUAGUUAUGUAUGUCUACAUUGUAAAGAAUGGAUCUUGGGCCUAUCUUGGGCCUAACUCAACCUCUAAAGCUAGCUCGAGAGGUGAGGAUUAGUCAAGUCAAUUUAAGCAAACCACCAGUCCAUUUUCCAACCAAUGUGGAACUUUUACCUAUUAAGACACCCCCACACACACCCAGGCCCAACUGGCACUGGCAUGUGACCGUAAGUCCGAAAUGGGGAUGGACCUGGCUCUGAUACAAUGUCAAUUUUCUGUUGAAUGCCUCUCAAUAUUGAGAGUCUUUCCAUUAAAUAGAAAGUAUCAAAGAUUACAUCCCUAAAGAUCCGUCUUCCUAUCCCUAAAGUUCGGCUUUUCUAUCCCUCUAAAUCCGUUAUUAUAUCCCACCAAAUCUGCUUUACUAUAGCCACUAUUAUCCUCUUUAAUUACUAAAUUUAAUCUAUGUAAUUACACUAAUAUACAAUAAUAUAUAGAAAAAUUAAUAUAUAUAAUAUUUACAUUAUGCUAACAUAUAUAUGUUUGUGUAUAUAUGUAUGUAUUCAUAGCUAUAGUUAAGGUAACGUGUAAACAGUAAUAAUUAAAAAUAAAUAAUAAUAAUAAUAAUAAUAAUAAUAAUGAUAAAAUAUACCUUGUACAUGGUAGCUCAUAUGUAUAUAUGUGUGUGUGUGUAACGCUCCAAAAUCUAAGUUAUAGGGAUGCCACACAAUGCUCCGAACUACAAGUAGUCUUGAGCUAACCCUGGCUGCUUUCUGCUAAGUCUGGGUCUCAAAAUAGGAGAAUAUGAAUGAAAAAUCAUAGUAAAUGCGAAAGUCUAUCUGAAAUAACUGGGUAUGUCUGAAACAUACUAAUCUCAAAAGUCUUGGUAAAACAAUACUGAUAACCUAAAUACUGAAAUAAAAUCUGAAUAUUAAAUCUCGUAGUCCGACAAGCCUCUACUAACUGAAACUAGAGAGCCACUGGGACAAACCCCAGCUGACUCAAACUUUCUGAAAUAAAUACUGAAUCAACUACUAAUAAAUUGAAAGUCUGAAAUAAUUAAGUCUCCAAACUAUGAGGACUUACCAACUAUAGAGAUGUAGAUGAGAUGCUCGAAAAUCACUCACGCUGUUGAGACUGAGCACCUGAACCUACAUUAUGAGAAAAUCUAGCACAUAGACGUAUAUCUGGAUCAGUACUUUGAUGAUGUACUGAGUAUAUGGGGGUAAAUACAACAAGUAAGCAAUAUCAUCACAAUUUAUAAAAUCAUUCAUGCUAAAUGUAAAUGACUCACAUAGGCUUGAGUAAUUUGAAAUCUGAAGAUCAUAAAUCAUGAAUAGUAAAGCACAUAAUAUAAAUUCUGUGAGCCAUUACACUUAGUUCUGAAAUCUGUAUUAUGUUCUUAUUCUUAAAUCAUAUAGGCUAAGUGAAAUCUGAAAACCAUUCUGCAUGGAAAAGUACUUUAUCUGAAGGGAAUUCUUUCAAAGCUUUUCUUUGCUAGUAAGGAAAUACUCAAAACUGUUUAUUUACUUUUACUAGCAGGGAGGAUCUCUUAACCAACAUAAACCAUGUGAGCAUUCAUGGAGUCCAAUAUUCAUGUCCUCCUAAGGAGGAAACCUCAUGAUGGGGAGAGGUAUCAUACUCUUGCCAAGGAGUAUAACCUGUUGUCUAUGUGAUCUAUCAUAAGCUAAAUCUGUCAUCCAUAUAGAAAUGGAAAUUAAUCUGAAUUUGUACCUACAUUGGCUAUGUAGUUCUGUGGAAGAUAGGGCAAGCUAAUCCCACAUUUCCUGCUCGUUGCUAAAUACUACUUCUUUUUUAGUCAUUAUGCUCAAACUUUAGGAAAUUCACUUAAAACUAGUAAAAUGGUUCAUUAUGAAACCAAAAAUACUUUUAUCUGAGUAAAUCUGUAAAUACAGCUGAUCUAAAUUCUGUAAAAUGGAUUCCAUAGCUAAACUGAUGAUCAAAAGAUCAAAGCUUUUUCUGAAAAUUGAAAAUAAUUUGUUCAUAAGAUGUUUAAAGCAUCAUCUUUCAUGAAGUAAUACUAUACAAUCUUGGGAUAAUACCCCAUGCAUAAAUCUCAUGUUAAAACAUCAAAUUGCUCAUGCUUGAUAAUGUAAACAUAGAGAAAUUAAUUCAAAAUCUGAAAAUUUCUGCAUUAUGUAUGAAAAUAUGAACAUAAUCAUGUGAUUCAACAUCUACAUCAUUGAAAACAUCAUAAGCUUCUAAAUAACAAUGAUGGGUAUAAACCCUAACUUCAAUUUCAUAAAAAAUCAUAUAAAAUUUAGUAAAUUUGUAAUUAAAAUAAUUUUUGGGCACAAGGAUGUAAGGAUUAUCCUUGUUGAAUAACCCUACAUACCUUAAUUAUUUAUAUUUGAUGAAAGCUUGAAUCUUGGAAUCGUGUUGACGCUUUGGAGAUGAGUUCUUAGAGUUCUUGUAUUGGGAAUCCUUAAUCUUGAAUUUCCUUGGAGAAUUAAUGGAGGAAUUUGGAUUUCUUGGGAAGAAAGUUUGAUGAGUUAGGGAUUUUUUUUGAGAGAAAAGUGAUGAAAUAAGCAUAAAGUUCUUUGGUAUAUGCUUAAUGAUGUGUUUUGGACGGAUUAGGGGAUAGGUAGUUUACCAAAAUACCCUUUUUAAACUCCUAAAUAGAACUGAAAAAUGACCAAAAUUCUCGAUUUACUGGGCCACCGCGAUGCGCCACUAUCGCGGUGGCUCACUGGAAAAGGACGAGCGGGAACUGGAUGCUCACCGCGAUGUGUCACAAUUGCGGUGCCCCCUUGGAUUGCCAUUUUGGCCUUUGGCGCAACGCGCUAGCAUCACGUAGUCUCACUGGAAAAUGCCAAAUGUGAAAUGGGGCAUCACUGCGAUGUGGGGCUUUUGCGGAGGGCCACUGGAAUUUGAUAAUCUUCAUUUCAACUGUCUCCGCGAUGCGCUAGGUGGCCAGGUGGCAUACUAUCAACUUAAAAAUGUCAUAACUCCUUCACCGAUUAUCAGAUUUAGGCGAAUCUUAUGUUGUUGGAAAGCUUAUUAAAUUUCCCACAAAAUGGGAGGUCUAAAUCAUUAAAUUCCACGUGAAAUAAUUAUUAUCUAUUUUGCAAGCUAUUCUAUAACAUUCUAGGGACGAAUCAAGUUAAGAAAAGUACGGGGUAUUACAAUAUCACCCCUUUGGGAACAUUCAUCCUCAAAUGUUACAAAUUACACUAAGAAUACUAAGGUAUCUGAGGAUAUAUGAUAGCAUGUACAACCGAAAUAAAUUGAAUAACUGAGUCUAAGUCAUUUUGAGUUUCUGAGUAAUUCUGUGAGUGCAUGAACUUACUUGAGGACAACUAUAUAGUUGAAUAUGUGAUUAGAAAAGACUUUAAUUAAGAGUAUUACCUUCAGCUAAAUAUGAGUUUGCGGAGAAGAGGUGAGGGUACUUGGCUCAUAUAUCUUCUUCUGUUUCCCAAGUAGCGCCCUCAACUAACUGAUUCUGCCAAAAAACUUUGACCAAGGGAACUUCUUUGUUCCUUAGUCUACGGAUCUGAUGAUCUAGAAUCUCAACUAGAAUCUCUUCAUAAGAAAAGUUGUUCUGAAUAUCUGAGCUUUCUAAAGGAACUACAACAGUGGAGUCACCGAUGCACUUUUUAAGCAUAAAUACGUGAAAUAUAGGAUGAACGGCUGACAAGUCUGCGGGUAAAUAAAGCUUAUAAGAUACUCUCCCAACACGACUCGAAAUUCAAUAAGGGUCAACAUACCAGGGACUAAGCUUUCCCUUUUUGUCAAAUCUCUUUACCCCUUUCAUCGGUGAAAUUUUUAGAUACACUAAAUCACCAACCUCAAACUCGAGGUCCCUUUUUCUCACGUCUGCAUAUGAUUUCUGAUGACUCUAUGCUAUUUUCAAUCUUUCUCUAAUCAACUUAACUUUCUCCAUAGCUUCAAACACUGCAUCGGGCCCAAGCAAAGAGGCGUCACUCACUUCAAACCAAUCUAUGGGUGAUCUACAUCUCCUUCCAUAAAGAGCCUAACACGGGGCCAUCUAAAUGCUAGAAUGAUAAUUGUUAUUAUAAGUGAAUUCAAUUAACAGUAAAUACUCAUCCCAACUACCUUUGAAAUCAAGAGCACAUUUCCUCAGCAUAUCUUCUAGAGUUUGGAUGGUCCUCUCUGCUUGACCAUCUGUCUGAGGGUAUAAAGUUGAACUAAGAUAAACUUGGGUACCAAGACCUUUCUGAAAAGCUCUCCAAAACUGGGAAGUGAACUGAGUACACCUAUCUGAAAUGAUAGAUAAGGGAACGUCAUGUAGUUUGACUAACUCUCGAAUAUACAACUUAGCAUAAUCCUCAGCUGUAUAGGAUAUAUGAAAUGGUAAGAAAUGUGCUGACUUAGGCAAUCUUUCUAUAAUAACCCAUAUCGAAUCAUACUGAUAACGCGAAUGGGGUAAACCAAUCACAAAAUCGAUAUUCACCUCUUCCUAUUUCCAAGUGGGGAUACCAAACUCUUGCAAUGUACCACCAGGUCUUUGGUGCUCUACCUUAACAUGUUGACAAGUAGCACACCUUGCUACAAACUCUUCUAUAUCUUUCUUCAUACCACUUCACCAAUAAAUUUCUUAUAGAUUGCGGUACAUUUUAUUGGCUCCUGGAUGAAUCAAAUAAUGUGCACCAUACACUUCUGCCAUAAUUCAUUGUCUCAAGUCAUCAACACAUGGAACACACAAUCUACUUUGGUAUCUCAACACACCAUCUCUCCCUUGGGAGAAAACCUCCACCUUUUGAUCUUUAACCGACUUCUUUAGUUUUACCAAACUAGAAUCCAUAUCUUGUUUCUCCUUCACUUCCAAAACUAGGGAAGAUUCAAAACUACUCUGAACCCAAAUAUUCCCUUCAGGUGAAUUCACCAACCUAACACCAAAUCUAUCCAAACGAUGCACUUCUUGAGCUAACUCUUUCUUAUCAUUCUCCACAUGAGCAACACUGCCCAUAGACAAUCUACUAAAGGCGUCUGCCACUACAUUGGCCUUGCCCAGAUGAUACAACACACUUAUAUCAUAAUCUUUCAACAGUUCCAACCACCUUCUCUGACGUAGAUUAAACUCUCUCUAAGUAAACACAUACUACAAGCUCUUGUGAUCUGUGAACAUAUCAACAUACACUUCAUACAGAUAAUGUCUCCAGAUUUUCAAAGUAAACACAGCAGCAGCUAAUUCAAGAUCAUGGGUUGGAUAAUUCUUUUCAUAAGGCUUAAGCUGUCUAGAGGCAUAGGCUAUGACCUUACCUCUCUGCAUCAACACAUAGUCCAAACCAACUCUAGAGGCAUCACAAUAAACAACAAAACCAUCUGUGCCAUUGAGUAAUGCUAAGACUGGGGGGCUGAAGUGACUCGAGCCUUCAACUCCUAAAAAUUGUUCUCGCAGGAAUCUGACCACUGGAACUUAACUUUCUUUUGGAUUAGUAUAGACAUAGGAGAUGCAAUAGAUGAUAAACCUUCAAUAAAACUUCUGUAAUAGCCGGCUAAACCCAAUAAACUUCUAAUGUUAAAUAGAAAGAUAAGUCUAGGAUAAUUUUUUAUGGCUUAUGUCUUUUAGGGAUCCACUCUAAUUCCAUCGGCGAAAACAAUACAACCGAGAAAGGCUACUGAUCUUAGCCAAAAUUCACACUUACUGAAUUUGGCAAACAAUUUAUGAUCUCUAAGAGUUUGCAAGACAAUUCUAAGAUGAUCUACAUAAUCAUCCUCACUACAGGAGUACACAAGUAUAUCAUCUAUGAAUACUAUGAAAAAUAUGUCUAGAUACUGUUUGAACACUCGAUUCAUGAGGUCCAUAAAAGUUGAUGGGGCAUUGGUUAGCCCGAAAGACAUGACUAAAAACCCAAAAUAACCAUAACGGGUUCUAAAGGUUGUCUUUGGAAUAGAACACUCCCUUACUUUAAGCUGAUGAUAGCUAAAUCUAAGGUCUAUCUUUGAGAAAUAACUGGCACCUUAGAGUUGAUCGAAUAUGUCAUCAAUUCUCGGAAGGGGAUAUUUGUUCUUGACUAUAACUUUAUUCAACUGACGAUAAUAAAUGCACAUACACAAAGAAUCAUCUUUCUUUCGCACGAAUAAUAUGGGAGUGCCCCAUGGAGAAACACUAGGCCUUAUGAAACCUAUAUCUAAAAGAUCUUUAAGUUAUUCUUUCAACUCCUUAAGCUCUAUGAGAGCCAUACAAUAAGAAGGUAUAGAAAUAGGUUGAGUAUAUGGGAGAAAGUCAAUACCAAAUUCUAUUUCCUUAUCGGGAGGUACCCCUAGGAGAUCUUCUGGAAAAACAUCAGGAAACUUCAUUAACUACACUGACUGACUGAAUUGUUGAAGUCUCAGACUUUGUGUCUUUGACUCAAACUAGAUGGUAAAUGAAACCUUUGGAUAUCAACUUUCUAAAUUUAAGAUAAGAUAUGACAUGACUCUUAGGAGACACUGAAUUACCUGAACUCAAAGACUGGCUCAUCUGGGAACUAAAAUUUCACCACACCGGUGUGAUAAUCUAUAGAUGUAUAAUAGGAAUAAAGUCAAUCCAUUCUAAUAAUAAGAUCAAAAUCAACCAUAUCUAACUCUAUUAGGUCUGCUAACAUGACCUUAUGAAGAAUAGUGAUAGAAAAUUUUUGUAGAUCUAUUUAGCAACAACUGACUCACCUACUAGGGUAGAAAGCAAAAAAGGCUGAGGGAUCUUUUCAAAACUUAUCUCAAAAUUUACAGCAACUAAUGGGGUCACAUAAGAGAAACUUGACCCAAGGUCUAACAACACAUAAACAUCAAGAUGAAAGAAACGAAGUAUACCACUAACAAUAUCUGGUGAAUCUUCCUACUCCUGACGGGAUGGUAAAGCAUAGAACCAAUUCUGGUGUUGACCACUACUAGUACUGGAUGAUACGCCCUGAGGAGGGGCCGAGCGACCUAAAGGAGCUGGUGCACUAUUAGCCUGAGUCUGAGAAUGAACAUCUCUAUUUCCUUACUUAACAUGCGGAUAAUCUCUAAUACUGUGACCCAACUUACCACAACCAAAACAACCCUUCUAUCUAGCUAAACACUUACCAGGAUGAUUCUUAGCACACCUAGCACACUGAGGAUAAUUGGGCCUACCACUCACGCUAUUCAAAGAUCUGGACAUAGAAGACUUACCCCACUAUUCCUGCCUGUUUUUGGGUGCAGUAGCACUAGCUGAAGAAGGUGUGGUCAUAGAUGACCAAUUCUAAAACUACGAGUGAUUUCCUCCUCCAGACCUAUUCUGACCAUAAUCAAACUGCCCUAUUCUAGACUUCUUAUUUACCCUCUCUCUUUCUGUCCCUUCUCUUUUCUUAUUUAAAUAUAAGCAUAAGUUGUAAAGGCAAAGGUAGAAGUGGGCUAAAGCCCAUCUUCUAAUCCAAUUAGGAAUAAGGAAAGAAUGGACUUCAUCCCAUCUUCAAAUAUAAGUAAUAAUAAGAAGGGAUUUGGGAAGAAAUAACCCACCACGAGAAUUACAAGCUGCCAAGCAAUGAUUCAACUCAGAGAAAAAAAUACUUACAAUUUUUGGGAAUAUAUGAUUACCAAACCAAAAGAAAAAAAGGAAAAAUUUCUUGAGAGAUUCUUAUCGGGUUCAAGGUAAAUUUUUUAACUUGGUCCACAAAUUUGAAUCUUAAUUCAUGACUUUAGAAUUGGGGUUAAAAUUUUAAAAAUCAAGGAUUAAAGUGGUAUAAAAAUGGACAAAUUGGAAGUUAUCAUGAAACUUUGAAGGUUGGGUAGUCUAAUUUUAUCAUGAAAUUAGCCUAAACAAGAGAAUUAACUCAAUAUUCAUAUAAUGUGAUUAUAGGUUUGGUUCAAGAAAGUGAUACGAAUUGUUUAGGGUAAAAAAUUUGGUAUUUUGACAUCUGUACUAUGAGUAGUAAUCUUCCCACAAUUUAUGUUUGUUAAAUUUCAUAUUUAUACAUGUUUUUGAUGAAACAAUGAGUUACGAAAUGCUUUGAAAUUGCAAGUGGGGCAAGUCCCUUACUUGAUAUGAUAUUGAAAUUGUUAUUUGAGUUACGAUAUUAUUACUGUGAAUAUUCUUCACUUACAUGAGAAACAUGUAUUUUGACAUGUGUUUUAUUUAAUUUUACAUGUAAUAUGAUUUAAUAUGAACUUUAAAUGACAUGUGCUAUUCUGAAAAAUGCUUUCAUAUGAAUAUCUUAUUAUUUACAAAGAAUUUAUAAAUAGGAGUAGACCUUGAUUUGAAUCCCGUAGCUAACGGAGGAAUUGUUAGACCUGGUGCACCUUAUAUUUAUUAAUGACUAUUACAGCCCUCGCUAGUGGGAAAGUAGAACUACUGAUACUGAUAUGAUAUUUGACUCUUUUAUAAGAGGUCCACUAUUAUGGGUUAUUCUUGAGGAAGAAGAAUGUCACACUGAUUACAUGAUUCAUUCUUGGAAAUCUACCAACUAUGAAAUAUUUAAUAUGAUACAAUGCUUUUUGAAUUUAUUACUGAACUAUUGAUUCACUUUGCUUACAUGAAACAAAGGAUACUGUUUAUUGUUACUAUUUUCUGAAAGAACAUUUAUUUCAUGAUGUUUUAUGACUUGUCCCCAUUAAAAUGGUUGUGGAUAAGUGUUAUUACUAACUGAGCUAGCAUCUCACUCCUCACUAUUAUUUUUCAGAGAACGCAGGUGACGGUGAGGAUCUCAUUGGCUAGGGUAUCUGAGUAGCAUAUUCCUGGUGAGCCCCGCAUUUAUUCGCGUGGGCUAUAGUUUAUUUAUUCAUUAUGUUUAUUUUUCUUGAAAAAUCUUAGUUUGCUCCAUAGUCAUGUCUUUAGAUCUUUGAGUAUUCUUUUAUUAUUUUGGAUUUGUGGAGUAUUUGACUUUCUCUUAUUUUUUUAGAUGGAUUUCGUAUUGAUAUUGAUGGUAUUAGUGCAUUAUUGGUGAUUUUAUGGAUUGUGUUGGUAAUUGGUGUGUUGGUUGUGAUGUUGGGUUAUUGUGUUGUGAAUUUGAGACAGGAAAUUUUCUUAUUAGUACUAAAAAUAGGGAAAAAUCUAUUCGAUUUUCUAUAGAAUUCUAACGAGGCUUGCUUUGGAGUCCUAAAAUCCUUAGCAUCGGUAAUGGUCCUAUUUUGGGUCGUGAUAAAGUUGGUAUCAGAGACAGGUUUAAUCUGUGGCUAUGGAGCACACGAUAGUAGUAGAAUCUCAAUUAUGGUUAUAUUGCCAGCCAUUUCUAUAAUCAUGAUUCUGCGAGAGCGUGUAGGAUAUGUCUAGAUUUUCUUUCUCAUUAUUCCUUAUGUGUGUGACAUUUAGGAUCAUUAGAUGAAUGUAACUAUACUUGCUUUGUUAAUCAAAUGGUUCGUAGAGCAACAAAUGAUAGGAGAAGAGAUGGAACCCAUAAAAAGCCUCUAGGUAGGGGUAGGGGUGAUACUGUAGGGAUUCGCACUGCUACUCCAAGAAGUUUAAGAUAUCACACUUUUAUGUGUCCUUAUACGUUUUUGUGAGAUUUGAUAGACAGACAGAGAUGUUGAAUUGUCUUUUUCUUAUUACGGCCCUGUGGGAGAUUCUCUGUUAGUUGAGUAUGUAUACUGUAAUUGCAAGAAUAUAGUAGAAGGUAGGGUUACCCUUGCUGAAUUGAUGGUACUUUAUAUGAUUGAUUUUUAUGUGUUGAUUGGCAUGGAUUUUUUAUCACAAUGCUAUGCUACCGUAAAUUGUUAUGCAAAGAUAGUUCAAUUUGAGAUACCCAACAAACCUAGUUUUGUAUUGAAAGGGGGUCAAGUUCCAGAGGUUAGUAGAGUUAUAUCAUUUAUGAAGGCCCAACGACUAUUGAAGAAGGGAUGCAUGGGUUUCUUAGCUAUAAUAAGUAAUGAUGGUGAGGGAACACUUAGCUUGGAGGAGCUACCUAUUAUGAAGGAAUUUUCUGAUGUAUUUCCUGAAGAGUUGUCAGGAUUACCUCUAGUUUGAGAGAUAGACUUUGAUAUUGAUAUGGCACCUGACACUAUGCCAAUAUCUAUACCCCCAUAUCAUAUGGCACCAGUGGAGUUGAAAGAGCUCAAACAAUAGCUGCAAGACUUACUAGAUAAGAGAUUCAUCAAACUGAGUGUAUCGUCAUGGGGUGCACCAGUAUUGUUUGUAAAGAAGAAAGAUGGGUCUCUAAGAUUGAGUGUUGACUAUAGACAGCUAAACAAGGUAACAAUAUGUAAUAAUUAUAUGUUUCCUCGUAUAGAGGACCUAUUUGAUCAGUUACAAGGGGCUGCCAUUUUUCAAAGAUUGAUCUUCGGUCUGGUUAUCAUCAGCUUAGAAUCAGGGGGAGAUAUAACCAAGACAGUAUUCAGAACUUGAUAUGGGCAUUAUAAGUUUCUUAUGAUGUUUUUCGGGUUAACUAAUGCCCCUGCUGCAUUCAUGGACUUGAUGAAAAGGGUAUUCAGGCUGUUUUGGGACAAAUUUAUGAUAGUAUUCAUUGAUAAUAUUUUGAUAUAUUCUCGUAGCCAGGAAGAACAUGAGAAUCUUCUGAUAAAUGUAUUGCAAACAUUGCAGGAACAUAAGCUCUAUGCUAAGUUCUCAAAGUGCAAAUUUUGGCUUGACUCAGUAUCUUUUUUGUGCAUGUUGUCUCCAAAGAUGGUAUCAUUGUGGAUUCUAAAAGGACAGAAGCAGUGCAAAAAUGGCCUAGACUUACAUCACCUAUGGAGAUUCGCAGCUUUAGAGGUUUGGCUAAUUACUAUGGGCGUUUUGUGCAAGAUUUCACUAAAAUUGUAGCUCCAUUGACCAAGUUAACACAAAAAAUGUGUAGUUCUAGUGGAUGGAAAAAUGUGAGCAGAGCUUUCAGAAACUCAAGACAUGUUUGACCACUGCACCAGUUUUAGCCUUACCAUCAGGUUCUAGAGGAUUCAAGGUAUUCUGUGAUGCUGUGAGGGUUGGAUUAGGAUGUGUUCUCAUGCAAAAUGAUCAUGUUAUAGCUUAUGCUUUGAGACAAAUGAAAAAGCACAAGAUAAAUUAUCCUACCUAUGAUUUAGAAAUGGCUGUUGUGGUUUUCGCUCUUAAUAUUUGGAGGCAUUACUUAUAUGGUAAAACUUGUGAGAUUUAUACCGAUCACAAGAGCUUAAAGUAUAUUUUUCAGCGGCGAGAUCUAAAUCUUUGGCAGCGUCUGUGGAUGGAAUUACUCAAGGAUUAUGAUAAUGUGCUAUCUUGUAUCAUUCUGGAAAACCUAAUGUUGUGGCAGAUGCUUUAAGAAGGAAAUCUAUGGGUAGUUUGGCACAACUAGCUCCUGGAAGGAGGCAACUUGCAAAAGAUGUGUAGAAACUUGAAGGCAAAGGUGUCAGUUUUGGUGUUGGAAAGUCAGGGGUGUUGUUGGCUUGUGUUCAAACUAAAUCUUCUCUAGUAGAGCGCAUAAAGUCCACCAAAUUUAAGGAUGUACAGUUAUGUAAAUAUCGAGAUAAGGUCCUAGCUGGUCAAAAUAAGAUGAUGAGUAUUGAUUAUGAUGGUAUCCUUCAAGUGGGUAAGCGAUUAUGUGUACAAGCUGCUGAUGGGUUAAGACGAGCUAUUCUUGAAGAAGCUCACAACUCCAGAUAAACCAUUCACCCUAGUUCCACUAAGAUGUACCAUGAUCUGAAGCAGUUGUACUGGUAGGAAGGUAUAAAGAAAGAUAUUGCUAACUUUGUUUCUAGUUGCUUGACUUGUAAACAGGCUAAAGCGGAGCAUCAACGACCAUCAGGAUUAUUUCAAGAGAUCAGGAUUCCAGAUUGGAAAUGGUAAAGAGUUACCAUGGAUUUUGUAAUCGAGCUACCGUAAACCAUUAAAGGCCAUGACUCUAUAUGGGUAAUUGUAGAUCGACUUACUAAGUCUACUCACUUUCUUCCAGUAAAGACUACAUAGAGUGGAGUGAAAUAUGCUCAGUUAUUUAUGGAUAAAAUUGCCCGACUUCAUGGAGUUCCAUUGUCCAUUAUUUCUGAUAGAGGAUCACAGCUCACUUCACGCUUUUGGAGAUCUUUCCAAGAAGCAUUGGGUACCCGAGUAGAUCUUAGUACAGUAUUUCAUCCACAGACGGACGGACAGUCUGAGUGUACUAUACAAAUUUUAGAGGAUAUGUUGAGAGCCUACAUUCUUAACUUUGGAGGUAGUUGGGAUAUUUAACGCCCAAAAAAAUGAGUCCCGGAGUGUCACACGGUGCUUGAGGCUACGAGUAGCCCUAAGCUAACCCUUUGAGCCACUUUUAUUCAGUUCAACACAAAUCAAUGGGGUUUCUAUAAAUAACCCUUAAAUAUCAACAGAGUAAUCAUUAUCCAAAAAUAAAAGAAUUUCACAAAGAUAAGAAAAUACGACUUAUUAGUCAACUCCCAACAUCUAUACUAGUCUUACAAGCUUCUAAGAAAAUCAAUAAAACCAGCGAGCAAUUGAGACAUGCCCCAACUGACGCAUACUCAGUUAUCAAAUGUAAAUAAUUCUGUGAAAUCAACAUCAGACAUCACGUCCUCGGAACAUGAGGACUCACCACAACAGAGGAUGUAGAACAGCAUGCCCGAAGAAUAACUGUCGAACCUGAAACUGAGCACCUGAACCUACAUUCCAAGAAAAUACAGCCCACAUCCAAAGAUGUGGGUUAGUACCACGGAAAGGAACCGAGUAUAUAGGGGUGUAUGCAGUUGUAUAAACAUCAUCAUCAUAAAUAUUUAUAAGAAAUAUACAGGAUGUAUGAAAGCCUCACAUAGCCCGAAGAAAAUCAUCAUAAUCAUGAGAGGAUGAAAUAAGUACAANNNNNNNNNNNNNNNNNNNNNNNNNNNNNNNNNNNNNNNNNNNNNNNNNNNNNNNNNNNNNNNNNNNNNNNNNNNNNNNNNNNNNNNNNNNNNNNNNNNNNNNNNNNNNNNNNNNNNNNNNNNNNNNNNNNNNNNNNNNNNNNNNNNNNNNNNNNNNNNNNNNNNNNNNNNNNNNNNNNNNNNNNNNNNNNNNNNNNNNNNNNNNNNNNNNNNNNNNNNNNNNNNNNNNNNNNNNNNNNNNNNNNNNNNNNNNNNNNNNNNNNNNNNNNNNNNNNNNNNNNNNNNNNNNNNNNNNNNNNNNNNNNNNNNNNNNNAAGUAAGGUCGCUUUAUACCUCCCACUCGGUGCUAAAGAUUUAUCCCGGACUUAGCUCAGAUCAUUUCAAAGACAAUCCACAACAAAAUAAUUUCAGUAAUAUAUAAAUAUACAUCGGGAGCCAUUAUUCUUUCCAUCUAUCAAAAUCAAUCACGUUGUGAAUUUCUUUCACACUCGAAUUCAAAACAACAAAUCAUUCAAAAUAUCUCAAAUAUUCAACAUCAACAUGCUUAUAACACACAUUUUUUCAAAAAAAAUAUAAUUUUUAAUGGGGAUUCAAGACCCAAAUAUCAAAAUCAUGAUAAAUAUCAUUUAAGAUUCAUGCUUUAUAUCUCCACACAUGUAAAUUCAUCUUUCAUAAUCGUAAACAUCAAGAUUUCAUAAAAUUCAUCAUAAGAUAUGGGUUCAUUCUUCAAAUUCAUAAAAAAUCAAAUAAAAAUCAUGCCUUUGUAAAGAAAAUUACUUUUUGGCACAAGAACAAAGAGAGUUUGGCACAAGCACGAAAGAGAGUUCUUGUUGAAAAACCCCACAUACCUUGAAUGAUGAACUUUAGAUCGAUACUCAUUUUGGAGAUGUUAAUCGUGCCUUUGAAUGAUGGUUCUUGGAGUUCUUGAACUAGGAACUUGGAAUCUUGAAUAAAUUUGCAGAAUUAAUGAUGAACUUUGGAGGUUCUUGAAGUUGGAUGUAAGAGCAUAGGGUUUUAUUUUUGAGGGAAUUGGAUGAAAUAUAACAUAUAAUGCUUCUAAUAGGCUUUAAUAUGGGGUUUAGACGGAUUUUGGGUGAGGGAUAGUGACCAAAACGCCCCUAAAAAUCAAAUAAUUCUAGAAUCUGGCCUUUGAUGGACUGUUUUGAUAGUAUGAAGUAGAUUAAUCAUAACGUUUUAGUCCGAUAUCCAAAUUGGAUAAAACUAAUUUCAUUAGAAAUAGGGCUCUCAUAUCUUUCCAUUGAUAUAUAGUAUCUAACCCAGAUCAUUGUGUAUGAGGAGUUAUGAUCGUUUGAAGUUGACCCAAAAAUUUACUUUUGAUAGACUGAAGUAGAUCGACCAUAACUUUUUGCUCCGAUAGACAAAUUGGAUGAAACCAAUUUCAAUGGAAAGAGGACUCGCAUAGAUUUCUGUUGACAUAUAGUAGAUCACGCAGAUCAUUAUGUACAAAGAGUUAUGAUCGUUUAAAGUUGGAGCAAAAAUACGCCAGGCCUCAGUAUUUUUCCUGCACGUUUUACUGUUCACUACUAUUCACGGUUCGAUCGGAAUGUUCAUAACUCGUCGCUCGGGUGUAAAAAGGUGUCCGUUUUGGAUGAUCCACAUAUCGUUGGAAAGCUUAUUCGAUACUCUACGUAAUGGUGGGUCAUAAUCUAAGACAUUCCACACGAAAAAUUUAUAAUUCAUUCUAGAAGAUAGAACCCAACACGUUUACGCACAAAAUUUCAACGAAAAAUUUCUCGGGGUAUUACAUCAUCCCCCUCUUGGAAACAUUCAUCCUCGAAUGAUACUAGACAUGCCCAUAUUAGAUAGGGAAUAGAGCAUAUAGCUGAAACUAUUCAUUAGACUCAUUACCACAUCGUUUCUCACUCCGAAUGCAACAUAGAAUGCAUAAAUUAAAAAAACUACAGCUGAACACAUAAUAAAUGACAGCUGAACUGCUGCAACUUUUAUCAAAAGUGCAUAAUUUAGGAAAGAAUGGUACCUUCGGCUUGAUCGGAGUUUGCCAAAAAUAAGUGCGGGUACUUGGAUCGCAGAUCCGCCUCAGCUUUCCAAGUUGAACCCUCAACAGAUUGGUUUCGUCACAAUACCUUGACUAAGGGAACUUCUUUAUUCCUUAGUCUUCGGACACUGAAAUCAAGAAUCUCAACAGGAAUCUCAUCAAAAGAAAGAUUUUCUUGAAUGUCAGCACUCAUACAGGAAUCCACUACCACAGCAUCGCUAAUAUGCUUUCUAAGCAUGGAGACAUGGAAUAUUGGAUGAACAGAGGACAACUCGGAAGGNNNNNNNNNNNNNNNNNNNNNNNNNNNNNNNNNNNNNNNNNNNNNNNNNNNNNNNNNNNNNNNNNNNNNNNNNNNNNNNNNNNNNNNNNNNNNNNNNGACUAAGCUUCCCCUUCUUUCCAAAUCUCUUCGCCCUCUUCAUGGGUAAAAUUUUCCGAUACACUAGGUCACCAACUUCAAACUCAAGGUCUCUCCUUCUAACAUCCGCAUAUGACUUCUGACGACUCUGCGCAGUUUUCAACCUUUCCCUAAUCAACUUAACUAUUUCCAUAGCCUCAAAUACCGAAUCAGGACCACUCACAGCCACUUCACCCAUCUCGAACCAACCUAUGGGUGAUCUACACUUCCUCCCAUAUAAGGCUUCAAAUGGAGCCAUGCCAAUACUAAAGUGGAAACUGUUAUUGUAGGCAAACUUUAUCAACGGUAAGUGAUCAUCCCAACUUCCCUUAAAGUCAAGUGCACAAGCUCUCAACACAUCCUCUAAUGUCUGGAUGGUCCGCUCAUCCUGACCAUCGAUCUGCGGAUGAAAACCAGAACUCAAAAGCACUUGGGUACCAAGACACUUCUGAAAAGCUUUCCAAAAUUGUGAAGUGAACUAAGUAACCCUAUCCGAAAUGAUAGACAAGGGAACUCUAUGCAGUCUGACUAGCUCUCGGAUAUACAAUCUACAUAAUCUCAGCAGUUUAUGAAGUAUGAACAAGCAAGAAAUGAGCAGACUUAGUCAACCUAUCAACCACAACCCAAAUUGAAUCAUGAUGGCGUCGGGAACGAGGUAAACCAAUCAUAAAGUCUAUAUUUAUCUCUUUCCACUUCCAGGUGGGAAUACUAAACUCUUGCAUCAUACCACCAGGUCUUUGGUGUUCAACCUAAACCUGUUGGCAUGUUGCACACUUAGCUACAAAUGCUGCUACACCUUUCUUCAUGCCACUCUACCAAUAGAUUUCCCGCAAGUCUCGGUACAUCUUGGUGGCUCCAGGAUGAAUAAAAUAUCAUGCCCCAUGCGCUUCAGCCAUAAUCCUCUAUCUCAGAUCAUCAAUAUUUGGGACACACAGUCUACCCUGCAAUCUCAACAUACUAACUCCCCCUUGGGAGAAAACCUCUACUUUUUGGUUCUUGACUGACUCCUUCAGUCUGACCAAACUAGCAUCUAAGUAUUGCUUUUCCUUUACUUCCUAAACCAAGGAGGAUUCGAAACUACUCUGAACCCUUAUACUACCUUCAGCAGAGUCAAACAACCUAACCCCCAAUAUAGCCAAACGAUGUACAUCAUAAGCCAACCCUUUCUUACCUUCUACCACAUGCGAAACACUAUCCAUGGACACUCCACUUAGGGCAUCCCCCAUUACAUUGGCCUUGCCCGAAUGGUACAGCAUACUCAUAUCAUAGUCCUUUAAUAAUUCUAACCAUCGUCUCUUCCUAAGAUUCAAUUCUCUCUGGGUAAACACAUACUACAGACUCUUAUGAUCAGUGAAAGCAUCAACAUGGACACCAUACAAAUAGUGUCUCCAGAUUUUCAAAGCAAACACAACAGCAACCAACUCAAGGUCAUGGGUGGGGUAAUUUUUCUCAUGGGGUUUUAAAUGUCUAGAAGCAUAAGCUAUCACCUUACCCUUCUGCAUCAAUGCACAACCCAACCCAACUCUCGAAGCAUCACAGUACACCACAAAACCAUCAACACCAUCAGGCAAAGUCAAAACAGGGGUUGAAGUGAGUCGAGUCUUCAACUCCUGAAAACUCUUCUCACAAGAUUCGGACCACAAGAACUUUACUUUCUUUUGGGGGUAAUAGCCAGCUAAACCCAAGAAACUUCGGAUGUCAGUCGGAGAAAUAGGUCUAGCCCAAUUUCUAACAGCUUCGGUCUUUUGGGGAUCAACUCUAAUACCCUCGGAAGAAAUGAUAUGACCCAGAAAAGCAACUAACCUUAGCCAAAACUCACACUUACUGAACUUGGCAAAUAACUUGUGAUCUCUAAGGAUUUGCAAGAUAGUUCGGAGAUGAUCAGAAUGUUUAUCCUCAGUACGGGAGUACACCAAUAUAUCAUCGAUGAACACUAUGACAAACCUAUCCAAAUAUGGUCUGAACACUCGAUUCAUGAGGUCCAUAAAAGCUACUGGGGCAUUAGUUAACCCGAAAGACAUAACAAGAAAUUCAAAAUGGCCAUAACCAGUUCGGAAAGUGGUUUUCGGGAUGUCACACUCCCUAACUUUGAGUUGAUGAUAGCUAGAAUGAAGGUCUAUCUUUGAGAAAUAACUUGCACCUUACAAUUAGUCAAACAAAUCAUCUAUUCUCAGAAGGAGUUUACGGUGACUUUAUUCAAUUGGUGGUAAUAAAUGCACAUAUGCAAAGAGCCAUCUUUAUUUUUCACAAACAACAUAGGAGCACCCCAAAGAGAAAUACUGGGCUUUAUGAAACCCUUAUCUAGUAGAUCUUUGAGUUGCUCUUUCAACUUCUUAAGUUCUGCAGAGGCCAUACGGUAAGUAAAAAUAGAAAUGGGCUGAGUAUCAGGAAGAAGAUCAAUCCCGAACUCUAUCUCUCUAUCAGGAGUUAUCCCUGGGAGAUCAUCCAGAAAGACAUCAGAAAACUCAUUGACGACAUUAACAGACUAGAGAGUUGGAGUCUCAGACUUAGUGUCUUUGACUCUAACCAAAUGGUAAAUACACCCCUUGGAAAUAAGAUUUCUAACUNNNNNNNNNNNNNNNNNNNNNNNNNNNNNNNNNNNNNNNNNNNNNNNNNNNNNNNNNNNNNNNNNNNNNNNNNNNNNNNNNNNNNNNNNNNNNNNNNNNNNNNNNNNNNNNNNNNNNNNNNNNNNNNNNNNNNNNNNNNNNNNNNNNNNNNNNNNNNNNNNNNNNNNNNNNNNNNNNNNNNNNNNNNNNNNNNNNNNNNNNNNNNNNNNNNNNNNNNNNNNNNNNNNNNNNNNNNNNNNNNNNNNNNNAUUCACAGCAAUCAAAGGUGUAGCAUAUGAGAAACUGGAUCCAGGAUCCAACAAAGCAUACACAUCAAACUGAAAUAUACAAAGCAUACCAAUAACAACAUCGGGAGAGUCCUCCUGUUCCUGGCUGGACGGUAAAGCAUAGAAUCUAUUUUGGCACUGCCUGCCAAAAUUUCUAGAAGAGGCAUUAUGAGAUGGGGCUGGGCGAGUCGCAGGAACUGGAGUACUAACAGUCUGAGUCUGGGUCUGAGCCCGAUAGUCACGACACCCUUGUCCAUCCUGUGGACAAUUUCUAACUCUGUGACCCAUGUCACCACACUGGAAAUAACCCCUCUUCUCACCCCAACACUCACCCGAAUGAGCCCUGCCACACUUAGGACACAGGGGAUGAUUUGUCUUACUGCCAGUACUAUACUGGGACCUGGAUGCAUAUGACCUGCUACCUUGAUCCUGCCUACCUCUAGGCACGGGAACACUAGCAUAUAACGGUGCUUGCAUAGACGAAUGAUCCUAAUAUUGAAGGUGACUCCCUCCCUACAAUCUAGUCUGACCCUGUCCGUGCUGCUCGGACCUAGCUUUCUUAUUCUCUCUCAUUCUAUCUCAUUCUAUCUCUCUCCUUAAUCUUGUCUGCCUCAAUCUGUUGGGCAUGAGUCAUCAGCCUAGAAAGAUUCAUCUCCCUAUUCAGCAUAACAGACCUACACUUCUUAACCACAUAACUAUACACUCCAGUCACAAAAUUACUCAUACUAGCCCGAUUAUCAGCCACUAAGUCAGGAGCAUACUUGGCCAACUGAUUGAACUUUAGACAGUACUCCCUAAUAGUCAUAGAGCCCUGUCGCAAGUUCAUAAACUCUUUCACCUUCACCUUCCUCAUCUCUAAAGAGAACUCCAGGAAUGCAUCUUGGAACUCUUGCCAAGUUAUAGAGAUAGCUCCCUCACCUCUACCUUUUCUCCAAGCAACAACCUAGUCAUAAGUAAGGUCUUUCAACCUAUACACAACCAACUCCACACUAUGUUCCUCAGAUACAUACAUCACUUGAGUAAUCUUCCGAACCUCCUCUAAAAACAACUGUGGAUCCUCAUCAGACUUGGACCCAUAGAAUUCCGGUGGAUUCAUCCGCAUGAAGUCAUGGAUCCUGGCAGCAGCUAAAUUACCUCCCUGUUGCUGUGGAGCCAGGGCCGGGUUGGCCUGAAUAUUUGCGGUAACAGUUUGGGACAGCGCCUGAAAGGCUGCCUGAAAUUCAAUAUGAGACACAUUUUAAUUCAAUGGGUCAGCGGGUUGAGGUUGCUGACCAUUAUUAUUUCUUCUCACUCGGCGUAGAGGCAUAUCUCAGAAAGAGGAGAGCAUGAAUCAAUAGCAGAGAGAGACACUUUAAGCACGAUAGACUUCUGAAAGAAAGAAUCACACUUUUUCCUAAAACGUCUUGUAGCCUCUUGUUCAUAGAUGUGGCGNNNNNNNNNNNNNNNNNNNNNNNNNNNNNNNNNNNNNNNNNNNNNNNNNNNNNNNNNNNNNNNNNNNNNNNNNNNNNNNNNNNNNNNNNNNNNNNNNNNNNNNNNNNNNNNNNNNNNNNNNNNNNNNNNNNNNNNNNNNNNNNNNNNNNNNNNNNNNNNNNNNNNNNNNNNNNNNNNNNNNNNNNNNNNNNNNNNNNNNNNNNNNNNNNNNNNNNNNNNNNNNNNNAAAUAUCAAUAGAGUAAUCAUCAUCCAAGAAUAAAAGAAUUUCAGAAAGAUAACAAAAUACGAUUUAUUAGUCAACUUCCAACAUCUAUACUAGUCUGACAAGCCUCUAAGAAAAUCAAUAAAACCAGCGAGCCAUUGAGAUAUGCCCCAACUGACACAUACUCAGUUAUCAAAUGUAAAUAAUUCUGCGAAACCAACAUCAGACAUCAUAUCCUCAAAACAUAAGGACUCACCACAACAGGGGAUGUAUAAUAGCGUGUCUAAAGAAUCACUGUCGAACUUGGAACUGAGCACCUGAACCUAUAUUCUGAGAAAAUGCAGCCCACAUCCGAAGAUAUGGGUCUGUACUAUGGAAAAAAAUCGAGUAUAUGGGGGUGGAUGCAGUUGUAUAAACAUCAUCACCAUAAAUAUUUAUAAGAAAUAUGCAGGAUAUAUAAAAGACUCACAUAGCCCAAAGAAAAUCAUCAUAAUCAUGAGAGGAUGAAAUAAGUACAAUAACACAUGUGAGUCAUCAUAUAAUUUGUCAAUAACUUUCAGUUCAUCAAGAAUAUCAAUUCUCAUAAUGUAAAUAUCAUUUAAAUCUUUCAAAAGAAUAACUUUCACAAUUCCACUUUCAAAUCACUUCACCAUUCACCAUAGACACAAGGAAACACACACACACUGNNNNNNNNNNNNNNNNNNNNNNNNNNNNNNNNNNNNNNNNNNNNNNNNNNNNNNNNNNNNNNNNNNNNNNNNNNNNNNNNNNNNNNNNNNNNNNNNNNNNNNNNNNNNNNNNNNNNNNNNNNNNNNNNNNNNNNNNNNNNNNNNNNNNNNNNNNNNNNNNNNNNNNNNNNNNNNNNNNNNNNNNNNNNNNNNNNNNNNNNNNNNNNNNNNNNNNNNNNNNNNNNNNNNNNNNNNNNNNNNNNNNNNNNNNNNNNNNNNNNNNNNNNNNNNNNNNNNNNNNNNNNNNNNNNNNNNNNNNNNNNNNNNNNNNNNNNNNNNNNNNNNNNNNNNNNNNNNNNNNNNNNNNNNNNNNNNNNNNNNNNNNNNNNNNNNNNNNNNNNNNNNNNNNNNNNNNNNNNNNNNNNNNNNNNNNNNNNNNNNNNNNNNNNNNNNNNNNNNNNNNNNNNNNNNNNNNNNNNNNNNNNNNNNNNNNNNNNNNNNNNNNNNNNNNNNNNNNNNNNNNNNNNNNNNNNNNNNNNNNNNNNNNNNNNNNNNNNNNNNNNNNNNNNNNNNNNNNNNNNNNNNNNNNNNNNNNNNNNNNNNNNNNNNNNNNNNNNNNNNNNNNNNNNNNNNNNNNNNNNNNNNNNNNNNNNNNNNNNNNNNNNNNNNNNNNNNNNNNNNNNNNNNNNNNNNNNNNNNNNNNNNNNNNNNNNNNNNNNNNNNNNNNNNNNNNNNAGGUUCUUAAAGUUGGAUGUAGGAGCUUAGGGUUUUCUUUUUGAGGGAAUUUGAUGAAAUAUAACAUAUAAUGCUUCUAAUAGGCUUUAAUAUAGGGUUUGGACGAAUUUUAGCUGUGGGUGAAUGACCAAAACGCUCCUAAAAAUCAAAUAAUUCUCGAAUCUGCCCUUUGGUGGACUGUUUUGAUAGUCUGACGUAUAUCAACCAUAACGUUUUACUUCGAUAUCCAAAUUAGAUGAAACCAAUUUCAUUAGAAAGAGGACUCUCAUAUAUUUCGUUGAUAUAUAGUAUCUCACCCAGAUCAUUGUGUACGAGGAGUUAUGAUCGUUUGAAAUUGACCAAAAAAUUUGCUUUUGAUAGGCUGAAGUAGAUCUACCAUAACUUUUUGCUCCAAUAGACAAAUUGGAUGAAACCAAUUUCAUUGGAAAGAGGACUCACAGAGAUUUCUGUUAAUAUAUAGUAGAUCACUCAGAUCAUUAUGUACAAGGAGUUAUGAUCAUUUAAAUUUGGAGAAAAAAUACGCCAGGCCUCAGUACUUUUUCCAGCACGUUUUACUGUUUACUACUAUUCAGGGUUCUAUCGGAAUGUUCAUAACUCGUGGCUCGGGUGUCCAUUUUGGAUGAUCCACAUAUCGUUGGAAAUCUUAUUUGAUACUCUACGCAAUGGUGGAUCAUAAUCUAAUACAUUUCACAUGAAAAAUUUAUAAUUUAUUCUAGAAGAUAGAACCCAACACGUUUACACACAAAAUUUCAACGAAAAAUUUCCCGGGGUAUUACAGGAUACUUGCUUACCCUUUGCUAAAUUUGCUUACGAUAAUUGUUUUUAAUCAAGCAUUUAGAUGGCUCCAUAUGAAGCCUUGUAUGGUAGGCAGUGUUGUUCUCCUAUCGGGUGGUUUGAAGUUGGAGAGGCUAAAGUUUUAGGACCAGACUUGGUACAAAAAGCUAUGGACUAUGUCCAAUUGAUUAGAAAGAGGUUGAGCUAGCUCAAAGUAGUCAAAAGUCCUAUACAGAUAAUAGGAGAAGAGAUUUGGUGUUCGCAGUUGGGGAUAAGGUUUUCUACGAGUCUCUCCUAUAAAGGUGUUAUGCAAUUCAGAAAAAGAGGUAAAUUGAGCUCGAGAUAUAUAGGACCCUAUGAGAUACUUGAGCGUAUAGGAGAAGUGGUGUAUCGUGUGGUACUCCUUCCCGAGAUGUCUUUCAUCCAUCCAGUGUUCCACAUCUCUAUGCUAAGGAAGUGUAUAUCAGAUUCUUCUUGCGUGCUCGAAGCACCGACCUUGUAACUUGAUGAGAACUUAACCUAUGAGGAGGAACUAGUGGCUAUCAUUAAUCGACAACUAAGAAGGUUACGGUCAAAAGAGUUUGUGUUCCUGAAAGUCUUAUGGAAGAACCAUACCAUUGAAAAAGCUAUGUUGGAGUCAGAAAAAGAUAUGAGACUCAAGUACCCUCACUUGUUUCAAUCAUCGGGUAUGCACUAGUUUUAAAUUCGGGGACCAAAUUUCAUAAGGUGGGGAGAAUGUAGUACCCCUUUAUUUAAAUAUAAAUAAAAGUUGUAAAUGAAAAGGUAGAAGUGGGCCAAAUCCCAUCUUCCAAUCCAAUUAGGAAUAAGGAAAGAAUGGACUUCAGCCCAUCUUCAUAUAUAAGUAAUAAUAAGAAGGGAUUUGGGAAGAAAUAACCCACUACGAGAAUUACAAGAUGCCAAGUAACGCUAUAACUCAGAGAAAAAAUACUCACAAGUUUUAGGAUUGUGCGAUUAAUAAACCAAAAGAAAAAAAAGGAAAAAAAUCUUGAGAGAUUCUUAUCAGGUUCAAGGUAAAUUUUGUAACUUGGUCCAUAAAUUUGACUCUUAAUUCAUGACUUUAGAAUUGGGGUUGAAUGUUUAAGAAUCAAGGAUUAAAGUGGUAAAAAUUUGGAUAAAUUGGAAGUUAUCAUGAAACCUUGAAGGUUGGGUAGUCUAAUUUUAUUAUAAAAUUAGCCUAAACAAGAGAAUUAACCCAAUAUUGAUAUAACAUGAUUAUAGGUUUGAUCCAAGAAAGUGAUACAAAUCAUUCAGGGUGACAAAUUUAGUAUUUCGACAUUUGUACUGUGAGUAGUAAUCUUUCCACAAUUUGUGUUUGUUAAAUUGCAUAUUUAUACAUGUUUUUUAUGAAACAAUGAGUUACGAAAUGCUUUGAAAUUGCAUGUGGGGCAAGUCCUUUACUUGAUAUGAUAUUGAAAUUGUUAUUUGAGAUUUGAUAUUAUUAAUUUGAAUAUUCUUCACUUACAUGAGAAACAUGUAUUUUGACAUAUGUUUUUAUUCAAGUUUACAUAUAAUAUGAUUUGAUAUGAACUUUAAACGACAUGUACUAUUCUGAAAAAUGAUUUCAUAUGAAUAUCCUAUUAUUUACAAAGAAUUUAUAAAUAGGAGUAGACCUUGAUUUGAAUCCCGUAGCUAACAGCGGGAUCGUUAGACCUGGUGCACCUUGUAUUUACUAAUGACUAUUACAGCCCUCGCUAGUGGGAAGGUAGAACUAGCAUACUGAUAUUGAUAUGAUAUUUGACUCCUUUAUGAGGGGUCCAGUGUUAUGGGUUAUUCUUGAGGAAGAAGAAUGCCACACUUAUUACAUGAUUCAUUCUUAGAAAUCUACCAAAUAUGAAAUAUUUGAUAUGAUAAGAUGCUUUUUGAGUUUAUUACUGAACUAUUAAUUUACUUUGCUUACAUGAAACAAAGGAUACUGUUUAUUGUUACUGUUUUCUGAAAGAGAAUUUAUUUCAUGAUGUUUUAUGACUUGUCCCUAUCAAAAUGGUUGUGGAUAAGUGUUAUUACUCACUGAGCUAGUAUCUCACUUCUCGCUAUUAUUUUUCAGAGAACGCAGGUGAUGGUGAGGAUCUCUUUGGCGAGAGGAUCCGAGUAGCAUAUUCCUGGUGAUCCCCAUAAUUGUUUGUGUGGGCUAUAGUUUAUUUAUUCAUUAUGUUUCUUUUUUUUUCGAAAAAUCUUAAUUUGCUCCAUAGUCAUGUCUUUAGAUCUUUGAGUAUUCCUUUAUUAUUUUGGAUUUGUGGAGUAUUUGACUUCCUCUUAUUUUUUUUAGAUGGAUUUCGUAUUGAUAUUGGUGGUAUUAGUGCAUUGUUGGUAAUUUUGGUGGAUUGUGUUGGUAAUUGGUGUGUUGGUUGUGAUGUUGGGUUAUUGUGUUGUGAAUUUGAGACAGGAAAUUUUCUUAUUAAGACUAAAAAUAGGGGAAACUCUGUUCGAUUUUCUGUAAAAUUCUGACGAGGCUUGCUUUGAAGUCCUAAACUCCUUAGCAUCAGUAAUGGUCCUAUUUUGGGUCGUAACACUUUCCUUCAACUUCUCUGCCUCAAUCUGCUGAGAAUACAUCAUCAACCUAGCAAGAUCCAUGUCUCCAAUGAGCAUAGCAAUCCUACUCCUUAACUAUAAACCCAGACACACCAGUCACAAACUUACUCAUGCUUGACCUGGGGUCAGCCAUCUGAUCAGGGGCAUACUUUGACAACUGGUUGAACUUGAGGCAAUACUCUUUCGCUAUCAUUGAGCCUUGCCUUAGGUUCAUGAACUCUUCUAUCUUAGUUUUCCUCAUCUUACAUGGGAAUAACUUGUCUAGGAAUGCAUCCUAAAAUAUUUGCCAAGUCAUAGGAGCUGCAUUCUCCCCUCUACUUUUCUUCCACAUCACUACCCAAUCAUAUGCAACAUCCUUCAGCCUAUAGGAUGCCAAUUCUACACUCUCCUCUUCAGAAACAUGCAUAAUUAGGGUGAUCUUCUUCACCUCAUCUAGAUACAACUGUGGAUCCUCACUUGCCCUCAACCCAAAGAAUUUUGGCGGGUUCAUUCUCAUAAAAUCUUGAAUUGUCGCUGAGGCUAAGUCCCCAUGUUGCUGAAGUGGGACUGCAGCCUGAUGGUUGCCUUGAACAUUAGCUGUCACAACUUGGGCUAGUGCCUGAAAGGCAGCCCGAAACUCUGCAUGUGACACAUUCUCAUUUAAAGGAUUUGUAGGCUGAGGUGGCUGGUUAUCAUUUCUACGUGCGUUAGAUCGACGAGAAGGCAUUUUUUGUCAUGUGAAAGGACGAGUUAGAAGCAGAUAGAGACACUAAAUACACGAUAGAUCAUGAAAAAAGAGAUGAUUUCCUAAAAUACUCCAUAGCCUUUUGCUCAUAGAUGUAGCGUGCUUCACAGCGAUGAUCAAUACUCUACGUAACGUGACUUGUCUGACUCCCUAGGACUGUCUAAACCUUAGGCUCUGAUAUCAGGUUUGUAACACCCCAAAAUCUGAGUUCCCGGGAUGCCACGCGGUGUUCCAAACUACAAGUAGUCCUGAGUUAACCCUGGCUGCUUUCUACUAAGUCUGGGUCUCAAAAUAAGAGAAUAUGAAUGAAAAAUCAUACUAAAAGUGGAAUUCUAUAUGAAAUAACUAGGUAUGUUUGAAACGUACUAAUCUCAAAAAUCUAGGUAAAAAAAUACUGAAAACCUGAAUACUGAAACAAAAUCUAAAUACUAAAUCUGGUAGUUCGACAAGCCUCUACUAACUGAAACUAGAGAGCCACUGGGACAAACCCCCAGCUGACUCAAACUGUCUGAAAUAAAUACUGAAUCAACUACUAAUAAACUAAAAGUCUGAAAUAAUUAAGUCCCCGAACUAUGAGGACUUACCAAUUGUAGAGAUGUAGAUGAGAUGCUCAAAAAUUACUCACGCUGCUGAGACUAAGCACCUGAACCUACAUUAUGAGACAAUGUAGUAUAUAGACGUAUAUGUGGAUCAGUACUUUGAUGAUAUACUGACUAUAUGGGGGGAAUGAAAUUAGUAAGCAAUAUCAUCACAAUUUAUAAAAUCAUGCAAGCUAAAUGUAAAUGACUCACAUAAGCUUGAGAAAUUUGAAAUCUGAAGACCAUAAAUCAUGAAUAGUAAAGCACAUAAUAUAAAUCCUGUGAGCCAUUACACUUAGUUCUGAAAUUUGUAUUAUGUUCUUAUUCUCAAAUCAUAUAGGCUAAAUGAAAUCAGAAAACUUAUUCCGCAUGGAAAAAUACUUUAUCUGAAGGAAAUUCUUUCAAAACUUUUCUUUACUAGUAGGGAAAUACUCAAAACUGUUUAUUUACUUUUACUAGCAGGGAGGAUCUCUUAACCGACAUAAACCAUGUGCGCAUUCAUGGAGUCCAGCGUUCUUGUCCUCCUAAGGAGGAAACCUCACGAUGGGGAGAGGUGUCAUACUCUUGCCAGGGAGUAUAACCUACUAUCCAUGUGAUCGAUCACAAGCUAAAUCUGUCAUCCAUAUAGAAAUGAAAAAUAAUCUGAAUUCGCACCUACGUUGUCUACGUAGUUCUAUGGAAGAUAGGGCACAUUAAUCUCACACUUCUCAUUCGACGCUAAAUACUAUUCCCCUUUUAGUCUUUGUGCUCAUUUUUUUGGAAAUCUACUUUAAACUAGUAUAAUGGUUCAUUAUGAAACCAAAAAUAGUUUUAUCUGAGUAAAUCUGUAAAUACAGUUGAUCUAAAUUUUGUAAAAUGGAUUCCAUAGCUGAACCGAUGAUCAAAAGAUCAAAGCUUUUUUUGAAAAUUGGAAAUAAUCUGCUCAUAAGAUGUUUAAAGUGUCAUCUUUUGUGAAGUAAUACUAUUCAAUCUUGGGAUAAUACCCCAUGCAUAAAUCUCAUGUUUAAACAUCAAAUUGAUCAUGCUUGAUAAUGUAAACAUUGAGAAAUUAAUUCAAAAUCUAGAAAUUUCUGCAUUAUGUAUGAAAAUAUGAACAUAAUCAUGUGAUUCAACUUCUAAAUCAUUGGAAACAUCAUAAACUUGUAAAUAGAAAUGAUGGGUAUAAUCCCUUACUUCAAUUUCAUGGGAAAUCAUAUAAAAUUCAAUAAAUUUAUAAUUAAAAUAAAUUUUGGGAACAAGGAUGAAAGGAUUAUCCUUGUUGAAGAACCCCACAUACCUUAAUUGAUGAUCUUUGAUGAAAAGCUUGAAUCUUGGAUUCCUAUUGACGCUUUGGAGAUGAAUUCAUAGAGUUCUUGUAUUUGGAAUCCUUAAUCCUGAAUUUCCUUGGAGAAUUAACGGAGGAAUUUGGAUUUCUUGGGAAGAAAGUUUGAUGAGCUAGGGUUUCCUUUUGAGAGAAAAGUGAUGAAAUAAGCAUAAAGUGCUUUGGUAUAUGCUUAAUGAUGUACUAUUGACGGAUUAUGGGCUGGGUAGUUUACCAAAAUACCCUUUUUAAACUCCUAAACGAAACUGAAAAAAUGACCAAAAUUCUCAAUUUAUUGGGCCACCGCGACGUGUCAUUAUCGCGGUGGCUCACUGAAAAAGGACGAGCAGGAACUGAGCAUUCACUGCGACGCGCCACAAUUGCGGUGCCCCCUUGGAUUUCCAUUUUGGCCCUUGGCGUGAUGCACUCACUGGAAAAUGCCAAAUAUGAAAUAGGACAUCACCGCGACGCGGGCCUUUUGCGGAGAGCCACUAGAAUUUGAAAAUUGUCAUUUCAACUGUCUCUGUGGUGCGCUAGGUGCCCAGGUGGCACACUGUCAACUAAAAAAUGUCAUAACUUCUUCACCGAGUAUUGGAUUUGGGCGAAUAUUAUAUCAUUGGAAAGUUUAUUAAAUUUUCCACACAAUGGAAGGUCUAAAUCUAGAAAAUUCCACACAAAAUAAUUAUUAUCUAUUUUGGAAGCUAUUCUUUAACAUUUUAAGGACGAUUUCAAGCUAAGAAAAGUACGGGGUAUUACAAUAUAUAUAUACCUCAUGGUUUUUAAGAUUUGAGAUUUUAAUAAAACUCAAACAAGUGUAUAAAAUUGAAGUAACGUAAAAUUUGACAUUAUUUAAUUUAUAGAAAUAAAUCAAAAUUGGUUAUUUGAAAAACCCAAAAUGUUAACGACUUAUACAUACAUACAUACAUACAUACAUACAUACAUACAUACAUAUACAUACAUAUAUACAUACAUAUAUAUAUAUACAUACAUACACACACACAUAUAUAUACAUACAUAUAAAUAUAUAUAUAUACAUUUAUUUUUACUAUAUAGAAGCACGAAUGGCAGCUGCUGGAAGCAGGCACCUGGCGGUCGACAUGUUUGCUUUCAGCUGCCUGCUUAUUCUGUGAUUUUACUAUAACACCCUUAAUUAAUUAUUAUAUGAAAUCUAUGUACUAAUAAAUUACAAAAAUUUAAUUUAAUAAAAAAACAAAAUAGAUAUUUAUGACAUGUUCGCUUCAGCAGCUUCAAUCAUAAUUUUACUAUAUCACCCCUAAGUAAUUAGUAUAAGUUAUUUAAGUAUUAAAAAGUUAAUAAAAUUUAAUAAAAAAAGAUAAAAUAAACAUAAAGUGAUAAAUUAACUCUUGAUUAGGACAUUUACAUAUUAAAAAGUUAAUCAAAUUUAUUUAACAAAAGUAAAAUAGAUAUUUAUGACAUGUCUGCUUCCAGCUACUUUAACCGUAAUUUUACUAUAUCACCUCUACGUAAUUAUUAUAAGUCAUUUAAGUAUUAAAAAAUUAAUAAUAUUUAAUAAAAAUGUAAGAUAAAUAUAAAAUGAUAAAUUAACUCUAGAUAUUUUAAAUUAAUUUGACAUCUUAUAUGAGGCCUACUUAAAAAUAUUUCACAAGUAUCUUUUAUAGCAAUUUUGCUAUAUCACUUCUAAUUAAUUGUCAUGAGUCAUUCAAGACGUGCUGAUUUCGCUACUUCAAUCGUGAUAUUUGAUUGACUCUCGAAAUUUUAUCGGUAUUGCUUAAAUUGAAAUAGAAAAAAUAUUACAAAGAACAACAAUUAAAAACUUAAAUUACUUUUAAAAUCUAAAUUGACUAUCAAUACCGCAAAAGUUUAAAUAAGAAAAGUAUUAUAGAUUACAAUAACAAUAUUGCUAUAUUUCUUGUAGUUAGUUUUUAUGAGUCAUUCAAGACGUGCCGGUUUCGCUACUUCAAUCGUGAUAUUUGGUUGACUCUCGAAAAAAAUAUUUAAUAAAAAUCUAAAAUAGAUAUUUACAAAAUAAAAUAAACAUUUAUGAAAUGGUUGUUCCAAUUAUUUCAACUAUAAUUUUAUUAUAUCAUCCAUAAUUAAUUCUUAUGUAUCACCUUAGUAUUUAAAAAUUAAUAAUAUUUAUUUUUACAAGAGCAAAUAGCUCAAAAUAGUAACAUAUACUGGGCCCGUGCCAGUAUAAUAAAUCACAAUAAGCAGGUAAAGCACGAUGCUCAUGGUCGACAUGCCUGCUUCAGCUGCUUCAAUCAUGAUUUUAUUAUAUUACCCCUAAUUAAUUAUUAUAAGUCAUUUACCUAUUAAAAAAUGAUAAAAAAUUUAAAAUAGACAUUUAUGACAUGACUGCUUCAACCGUGAUUUUACUAUAUCACUUAUAAUUAAUUAUUAUAAGUCAUUUAAGUAUUAAAAAAUUAAUAAUAUUUAAUACAAAAAUAAAAUAGACAUAAAAUAAUAAAUAAUUUUUUGAUGUUUUUAUAAGUCAUUUAAAAAUUAAAAAUUAAUAUUAUUUAAUUAAAGAGAUAGAAUAGGCAUAAAAUGACAAAUUAUUUUUUGAUGUUUAAAUUAACUUGACGUCUUAUAUGAGACCACUUAAAAAAAAUUCACAAGUUUUUGUUAUAAUAAUUUUACUGUGUCAUUUCUAAUUAGUAGAAUAGAAGAAGAAAUAUUAUAAAUCUCAAUAAUUAAAAACUUAAAUUAUUCAAAAAAUAUAAUUGACUAUCAAUGCCACAAAAGUUUGAACAACUUAAAAUAUUGUUAUACAAAUUUCAUCAAUCUAAAUAUAACAAUAUAUGCCAAACUUAGAAUUUAUCAACUAAACAAAUGAAGGUUUUAAUUAAAUGAUAGAAUUAUACAUAACGUAAAAAUUUUAAGGAUCAACAUUGGGUCGUGCGUAGCAUGGCGUAAGCCGACUAGUGUACAUACAUACAUACAUACAUGAAUACAUACAUACAUACAUACAUACAUACAUACAUACAUACAUACAUACAUACAUACAUACAUACAAGAGUCAUGGAAUUACUAGAGAGUAAUAAUUCUCACUGAAAGUCUAAAUUUAUAGAUGGUUUACCAACGCUCUUUGCAAAAAGAGUUAGAAAAUCUCUUAGGGGAUCCGCAAUAAGUAUUAAUUAUGAUAAGUAUACAUAUGAAAAAUUGAUUAAUGUUUGUAUUCAAGAAGGGCAAUUCUUAUGUAAUGAGAUUAGAUUAAACCAGCAAAUUAAGAGAUAUCGUCUUAAUGAAAGACAACAGUUAAGAGAAUUUUGUGAACAAUUUGUCAUUGAUAUUCCUAAGAAUUUUAGAGAACCUUAUAGGCAUAAAAAGAAGAAAAAGAGUCAUAAUAGAAAGAACAAGAGAAUUGAGUAAAAAAAUAUAGGAGGAAGAAAGAUUUUAAACUAAAAAAAGAUUUCAUUAAAUCUAACAAGCCUAAUGUUUGCAACAAAUGUGGGAGAAUAGGUCAUUCUGUCAGGGACUGUAAAGUGAAGGAUAAGAUUAAAAACCUUAACAUAGAUGAAGAGAUGAAACAAUCUUUGUGCAAAAUACUAUUAAACUGUUCUCCGGAAAAUUCAAGCCCGGAUCGGAGUGAUGAUGAAGAAUUUUAUGCAAAUGAAGAAUUAAGAGUUCUUCAUAAUGAGGAUUAUAUGUCUUCUGAAGAUAAGUGUUUAUCCUGUCAAAUAGGACAACCUUGUCAUAACAAGGAUCAAGAUGAUUUUUUUAAGAUAUUUAUUCCCAGUUUUAGGAUCUAGAAAUUGAUGUCCUUGAGAAUGAUAAUUUGACAUCACUUCUAGAAACUAUCAAAGAUCCAUAAUUAAGAUCUCAAAUAAUAUAUCAUAUAGGAAAACCUUCUACUAGUUCUCCUAAAGAACAAUGGGAAAUUUCAUAUGCGUACUCAUCAUAAUUAAUACUUGUUGCAGAUCCCAGUUUCUGGCAUGCAUGAUUUGCCUUGACAAAUAUAUGUCUUGGGAAUUUUAUAUUCAACUCCCAUCACUAGGAUUUCUUAAAAUAUGAGUAGUUUUAUGAAAGUAUUUAGAAAAUAUUAAGCCUUCUUGUAUGCAAUUACAAUCUGCUACACUAUCAAUGAGAGCUGUAAAUUCUUUUUUGAAGUUAUAAUCAAUCAAAAGAGUUAUAUUUGCAUAAAAUUUCUAACGUGUUAUAACUUCUACUGUUUGAAGAAAUCCUUCUUUUGGUAGGCUAUGAUAUUAUCUACAAUAUUUGUAUCAAGAUUUUAAUUUUCUAGAGUAGAUAUCCAUUUAUCUAAGGUGAUAUUAUUAUUUUUGAGGUUGACAAUUUCCUUUUUGAGAUUAUCAAUCUUUAUCCUUAAAUCUUGGGUUGUUGUCGGAGUAUUAGCAACUUUCUCCUUUUCCUUGAGAAGUCUUCGAACUUCAGUCAUAGUAGAAGGACCCUUUUGAGAAGGAAUCUCCUAUUGUUCUUUAGGAGACCUAGUGAAAGAUUUUCCCAUAUGAUGCAUUAUUUGAGAUCUUAAUUCUAGAUCUUUGAUAGUUUCUAGAAGUGCUAUCAAAUUAUCAUUCUCAAGAACAUUAAUUUCUAGAUCCUGAAAGUGAGAAUAAAUAUUAUCAAAAAUAUCAUCUUCAUCCUUGUUAUCACAAGGUUGUCUUAUUUAACAGGGUAAACACUCAUCUUCAAAAGACAUAUAAUCCUCAUUCUGAAGAAUUCUAAUCUCAUUACAUAAGGAUAGCCCUUCUUGAGUACAAACAUUAAUCAAUUUUUCAUAUGUGUACUCAUCAUAAUUAAUACUUGUUGCGGAUCCCUAAGAGCGUUUCUAACUCUUUCUGCAAAGAGCAUUGGUAAACCAUCUAUAAAUAUAGACUUCCAGUGAGAAUUAUUACUAAGUAACAGGAUAUAUAUGUAUAUGUGUGUAUGUGUGUGUGUAUAUAUAUAUAUAUGUAUAUAUGUAUGUAUGUAUGGAUGGAUGGAUGGAUGGAUGGAUGGAUGUGUAUAUAUAGUCCAAAAAAAAAAAAUUUUAAAAAUGCAAAUGUGAUUAUCAAAAUACUUUUUGUGCAAUUUUUUAUGUUAAAUAAUUAAUUAUAUUUAGCUAAAAUAUUUUAAAACAUGACAAGAAAAAAUAAAUCUUCUAUUUCAUUCUUUUAAAAUUCAUAAAAAAUUAAAAUACAAAUUUAUUUUAAAAAAUUAUUAGGACCAAGAAGCAUCAAAAAAUAAUUAAAGAAAAAAGAACGAGUCAGAACUGGAUGUCAACGGUUGUGAUUCUUAUUUGGUUACCUUGUUCGACCAUCAUAUGUGAAAAUCCUGAAUUCUCAUGAAAGUAAUCUUAUUGAGGGUUUGCUUCAUGCUUGGAUUCACUUGAUUAUUACUUGUCUGAUGUCUUUGAUUAUUUUCUUUUCCUGUAAAGUAUGUUUGUAACGACAUUGAUAAUUUGAUUUGAUCAUUCAAAGCAGUAUAUGUUCAAUACGUGCAUUAUGUCUAUCUUUGGUAAAUUUUGAUGGCUUGAAUAAUUUUGAUAAGCCUAGAUUGAUUUUGGGCUUGGUUGUAUCAUUCUUUAUAAUUGAGGAUACUUCUUAUCUGAUGAGUUGUUCUAAUUAUUGACUUUCCUUUAGCAGUGCGGAUAGCCUAGUAAUUGAUUGCUUGUGAUAACUUAUGAGUGAUUGUCUUUCUUUUUCUUCAGCAAAUUUGACUACUUCGUAUGGUAACUUGAGAUUUUUCUUACCCUUGAUUGAUCCAAUUUGUUCUAUUUAAAAAAAAUUUAGUGUGACCGAUGAUUUUUUCCUAUUUGAUGCCUUAAUUGAUUUAUUCCUUUUCUAUAUAAAUAACACCUCUCUUCAUUAUUUUGGAUAGAGUUUCGACUCCUACUAUUACAAAUUUUUAUACUGAACAAUACUUAAGCUACUCUAGACACAUAAAAUAUCUCUUUUUCUUUUGAUCUUGAGGCUUCGACUACUAUUAUUAUCACGGGUUUUUACUUUAAAAAUCUGGCUUUUCUUAUUUGUGUUUUAUUACUUUCACUUCUAAUUAGUUAGUUUUCUCUAAUGAUACAUUAGUUUUUUUAUAUUAUUUUAUGUAAUUAUGAUUUGUUUUAACUUGCGUACUUUAAAUGCUCGAUGUCAUAAGUCUUAUAUUCGUUUCAGUGCAUUUUCGUGAUCUAUUGGGUGUUCAUAUUAUUUGCUUUUAUCGAUGUGACUUGUUUUUUUCUCUAUUUGUACUUAAAUAUUUUUUUCGUAGGAAUGUUGUAUAUGUGAAUUCAAAACGACCUUGCGCAUCUCAUAUUCCCUUUGGCGUAAGCCUAUCUGUGAUCCUUGAGAUCCUUAGGAUCUCGACAACGUCAAAGGUUGGUUAUGAGAUGUCAACGGUAUGCUAUGGAUUCGAAAAGUAAUUUGGUGUCUUUGCUUCUGUUCUUAGGUUAAAGGCAAGCAUUCAAAGGAGAGUUCAUUUGGAAUUUUGUGAUUUUGGAGAUUUUCUAAUCUUUACUUUGUCAUGCCUUGUUUAUCUUUCAUUUAUUUAUUAUCUUGGUCUGUAAUAAUAUGUAUAAACACUAAUAUGUACAAUAAACAGGAACUGCUUAUUGGGGCCGAGGAUUAUAUGACCUGAAUAAUUGAUAACAAUUUCUUUAUCACUUAGGCAAUAAUCUAGGAUCAUUAACUAAAUUCUAUCACCUAGAAAUCAUGUUUUAAGAUUUCUUAUUAACUUUCAACAUAUAAAAAAAAUUCAAGCAUGCCAAUUUAAUUUAUAGCAUGUUUGGUUAAUUUUUGCAUUUUUUAAUCCAUUUUUAAUAAAAAUUUUCUGCACAUUCAAAGUUAUUAUUCUGCCAUUAUAUAAUUUUCUGCACUUUAAAAUAAAUUUCUGCAUUUUUGAUACCUUUUCUGCAUUGUUUAAUUAAAUUUCUGAGCCGUUCAAUUAUUUUUCUGAACAGUUUAUUUUUCUGCAUUAUUUUUUGAUUUUUUUGCAUUGUUUAAGGAAAUUUCUGCACAGUUUAUUUUUCUACACUAAUUAAUUAAUUAAUUUUCGCAUUAUUUAAUAAAAAUUUUACACAGCUUAAUUAUUUUUCUUCACUGAUUAACUAUCUUUCUGCACUGUUUAUGUAAUUUUCUGCACUCUAAAGAAUUUUCUAUACUUUGAAUAAUCUCUUCCCACUUUAAGUAAAUUUUGCACACUUUAAAUAAUUUUCUGCAUAUUUAAGUUUAUUUGAGCACUUUAAUUCUUAAUAUUAAAUGGAAUUUUUCGCAUAGUUAAACAAUGUUAAUCAUGAACCUUCUCACUUGUAAAGUAUGCUUAUAGGUUUUAAAUUAUAUAAAAUGAGUAAUUGCUUGUUUAGUAUGCUUGUCACUAAUAAACCUUUUAAUUAAUCAAGAGGCAUGUAUGAGAUCAUUAUGUGCUAAGUGCUUAUUGUUUGUUUGAUGCGAACCUCGAGCUUAAUUAGGUAAUCUAGCUUUCUUUUUUUCUAGACCCAAAUCUAAAAUCGUAAGUCUAAUGUCUCUUGGACAUUAAGUUGGGGCGGAUAGACAUUUAGGGAACGCUAGUUUUAUCAUUUUUCUUAGAUCACCUCUAAGUUUAAUAACUAAACUAGGUGGGGUGGGUAGAUAGUUGAAAAUGAUAUAAGUUGUCCCAAUUCAGAAUUCGACAAUGUGACAUACGACAUUGUCACCCGUUAAUAAGCCGGGCACUGAUCCAAAUAGGAUAAAAUCAACUCUAGUCCAAACCUUUUGAAUAUAUUUUCUCUUUUCUUUAUUUUGUAUAUUUUGAUCAUUUGGGAUAGUUAGGUUUAUUAUCUAAAUAACCCUUUUCGCUAUAUAAAUUGUAUCAUUUCUUUCUCCUCCUGAUUUUGUUUCUUUAUUUUCUUAUCAUCACCUAGAUAACUAACAAUUAGAAAUAAUUUACAUGUCUUGUUUAUUAUUAUUUCAUCACUUAGUUAUUAUUAAGUUGAUAAAAAUAAGCGACUUUUGUUGAUCACCUAGAAUUCCCCAUGUAAUAUACAAAUUCGACCGAAAUCCAUAUUUGUAGACCUCGAAAGGUUUCUAACACCUUUUUUGAGGUAACUUGAACCAUUAUCCAAUUUCUAGUGAAUUAGAUUAAAUAAUUAAAUAAAUUCUUAAUAUAAUGGUGCCCUGACACACCUUAAUUCGUUAGGUGGCGACUCUUCUCUCUUUAUCAAUCCUAAAAGAGUUGUCAUGACAAAUUCUGCUUUCCGCAAAAAAAUGAAGCGCGACACAUACCCUGUUUAUUUUCAUAAAGUGAGGUCGGAGGAUACUGAUAGGGGUUAAUGUGGCUCAAGUGUUACCAACUGAGAUUGAGAUGUCGAUCCUAAUGGCAAAAAAUUCAAGCAAGGUGUAACCUACAAAUGGAAGCCGCAAUAUUGUCAAUCUUGUAUGGUUAUUAGGCACACAUGUGCAGGUAAGCAGUCUGCUCCACCUCAGGAACACAAUCAACCAAGGAGAAGAAGGAGAGCUCAGAUAGUACAACAAUGGUUUACCAUACCCUUGCUUCACAGCUAGCAACCAGGGGAACAAGUUGUCCAGGGGAAGAACCAAGUAGUGGAACCUGAAGUAAAGGAGGUGCACACACUAGUCAAAGAUAAAAGGAUGGAAAACUUCUACUAGUAGGUCUAAAAAUAGAAGAGAGAGUCAGUAUAGAGGUCACAGUUCCACUCAAGAUCAGGGGUUGAUAAUAAAGAAUGGGUUUCUCUUAUUGUAAAUAGAGGAGUAUGUGAUAAAUUCGAUCACUACCACAGAUAAAGGUGGUGGCACAUCUGCACUUCCCUCAUGAAUUGGCUAAUUUGGAACUUAUAAGGAUUGAAUAAGUGCCACAAGCACAGGGAACUGAAGAAGUAUUUAGUGAGUAAAAAUAUCACCUUGGUAGGGUUGAUUAAAACUAAAGGCGCAGAAUGCAUUGCAGAUACCUUAUAAAAUUGGUCAUGGUUGGAAAUUAGUGCACAGCUACAAUAGAGCUUCUAAUGGAGAAUCUAGUUUAUGUGGUGUGAAAGGCACUAUGAGGUUACUGUACAAGAAGAAGUAGCUAAGUACUUGCAUUUUCACAUUAAAUCUAGGAAUGGAGAUAUGGAAUGCAACCUCACAGUGGUUUAUGGCUGGAAUACAGUAGAACAGAGGAAGGAUUUGUAGGAUCAUCACUCUAAGCUCACUAGCCCAAUUCCUUGACUAGUGAGUAGGGACUUUAAUGCAACAAUGAACCUAACUGAUAGAAUCAGUGAAACACCAAUCACAACAGCUAAAGUAAAGGACUUUGCGGAUUGGCUACAUAGUAUGGAAUUUACAAAAUUUCUUUGAAGGAGAUGUUAUUUUAGCUGGUCUAAUAAGCAACAUGCUGGAGCUAGAGUGCAAAGCAGAAUUGACUGGACUUUAGGCAAUACUAAAUGGAUGAUGCGAUAUGAACAUCUAGUCACAGAGUAUGGAGAACCAUCCAUAUCCGACCACUCACCAAUGAUGUUCUAUCUUGACUCUUAGCUGCACCAACCCAAGGUUCCAUUAAAUUUUUUCAAUUCAUGGGCAAGUUAUUAACUGUUCUUGCCAUUAGUAGAAGAGGGUUGGAAGAAGCACUCAACAAUAUGGAUAUAGAAAAUGUCUAGAAUAAAUUAAAGUUGUUGAAGGCCAAUAUAAAAUUUGAAUACUGUUGAGUUUAAAGGGAUAAUAGUUAAGCUUGAAUAAAUCAGACAAGCAAUCUCCUGUAUUCAGAAAUAACAAAACUACUCCAUAUCUCUUGCUACUGAAGAAAAUGAGAAGUUAUAUCAACUAGAAAAAUGGGCUCUUGUAGAAGAGAGUAUUUUGAGGCUAAAGGCAAGAGUUAGUUGGAUUAAGUCGGGAGAUUCUAAUAGUAUAUACUUCUCAGCUGUAAUGAGGGAAAAAAGGUAGCACAAACAAAAUUCUAAACUUACAGCAUUAUCUGGCCAGCAAUUAUGUGCUUCAACAACACUGAAGCAAGAAAUUACUCAAUUCUACUGAUCUUUUACGGGUUCAACAACCACUUCUUUACCAACAGUAGACAAACAAAUCUUGAAGAGAGGAACUAUUUUAAACCAUCAACAACAAAUGAUGUUGUGUACAGAUGUUACAGACCAAGAUAUAUGGGAUGCCUUAGCUUCAAUUAGAGAUGUCAAAUCCUCAGGUAUUGAUGGGUAUAUUGCUUCUUUCUUUAAGAAAGCAUGGGAAGUGAUAAAGGGUGAGGAGCAUGGGAAGUGAUAAAGGAUGAGGUGUGCGAGGCAGUAAAAGAUUUUCAAUUAUAAUAGGAUGUAUAAUGCAAUCAAUUGUACUCUAUUAUCUUGCUACCAAAAGUUUUUAAUCCUAGCACUAUUAAGGAAUGUAGGCCAAAAUCCUGUUGCACGGUCCUUUAUAAGAACAUAUCCAAAAUCUUAGCUGCCAGGAUAAAGAGUAUCAUGCCAGUACUCAUAAGUGAAAAUCAAAAAGGGCUCAUUCCAGGAAGGAGAAAAACAUACAUCAUUUUAGCUCAUGAUCUGAUCAAACACUACAACAGAAAGCAAUCAUCUCUAAGAUGUAUGUUGAGGGUGGAUCUAUAAAAAACAUGACUCUACUGAGUGGGUCUACAUAGAGAAAAUUUUAAUAGGCCUGGUAUUUCCUACAAAAUUCAUCACUUAGGUAAUGACUUGUAUAAAAAUAGUGAGUUAUUCCAUCAUUAUCAAUGGUGAGGCAACAAAAUUUUUUAGUGUUGCAAAAGAAUUGAGACAGGGAUCUCAUAUCACCGUAUCUCUUUGCAAUUGCCAUGAAAUAUUUGAGCAGAAGCCUUAGCACCUUAACAGAGACAAGCAGUACAAAUUCCACCCCAUGUGCCAACAACUUAAACUAACUCAUCUUUUUUUUGCAGAUGACUUACUCUUUUUCUUUGCCAGGGUAGAUAAGCAGUCUAUGCAGACCUUAUUUGAAGAGUUUAUCGAAUUCUCAAUAGCAUCAGGAUUAUAGGAAAAUCUACGUAAGAGCAGUCUAUACUUUGUGGAAUAGCAAGUCCAAUUAGAGAAAAAAUCAUUCAUCUGCUGGGCAUCAAAAAAGGGUCUCUUCCAUUCAAGUAUUUGGGAGUACCCUUAGCUAUAAAGAAACUAUCAAUCCUUCAAUGGCAGCUUCUCGUCCAGAAGAUAAUUGCAAGGAUAAACUCAUGACAACAAAGAUAUUAUCAUAUGUUGGCCGACUGCAGUUGAUCAAUUCAGUAGUGUUUGGGUUCUAAUCAGAUUAGUCCCAAUUAUUUAUCAUCCCAGCCAAGGUCAUAAAGGUUAUUGAAGUUUAUUACCAGAGUUAUUUGUGUCCAGGGUGACACAACACUACUAAGAGAGCUCUUAUAGCAUAGAGUACCACUUGCUUUCCAAAUUUUGCUGGAGGCAUGCACAUAUUUAACAUCAAGCAAUGGAAUAAAACAACAAUGCUUAAGUUAGUUUGGGACCUUGCCCACAAACAAGAUGUGUUGACACCCGAUUUGACCUUUCGAUUCUCCUUUUAGACUACUAUUUUAUCAAAAUUAUUACUUUCAAAUAUUAAUAUUUUUUUUACAUAUGAUUUUGGUAUCAAAUACAUAUUGACAUAUAUGUUCAUGAUUUGAAGUAAGCAACUUAUUUUAUUCAAGUAAUUUUAUAUUUCUUAUAUAUUAUAAAUUAAUUUAAAUAUAAUGAUUUACAUAAUUUUAUUAAUAUUUAUUAAAUUAUUUUUAUAUAUAUAUGCGCACUCGUAAUUUACAAAUGGAUUGUCUAUCAUUAUUAUUAUUCUAAUUAUUAUUAUUAUUAUUAUUAUUAUUAUUAUCCAUUAAAUUUAAAAUUCAAUUUAUUUAAUGUUUAGUCAAUUUUGUACCCAGUUGUCAAUUUCAGCCUAAAUUUACCUCAAUUUUGACCCAAUCUCAAAAUUCCCAAAUCAGUUUUAUUUAACCUCUCCCAAGUUUAAUCACAGUCAUUGAUCUUAUGUGAUCAACGACUGAGAUUAAGUUCCCAUUUUAAUCCCUUUAACCCUCUAAAACCCUAAAGGGAACAUCAUUUUUCCCCUAUGCCAAAAAACAGUCGGCCAUUCCCCUUUCCCUCUCACCGAUCUCUCAAUUCUCCCCCUUCCCUUUCUCUCUCCACCACGGUGAGCCAACCCUGGCGAGCCAACCUCUGACGCCCAGAGACAUCGAUAACCUCCACCACCUUCAUCAGUGAAUCCACCCAACCCGACACUCCUUCUAUCUCCUUUCCCCCUCUCUUUUUACCCCAAGCCGCGGCUGCUCCACUAUUUUUCGGUCGGCGAGCCAUCAAUCUUCUAUCGUUUCUACGAACUUUGGCCAACCAUGGCCGAUGAUAACCAACACCACCAGCCACUACUCCAGUCAGCCGCCACGUAACUUCUCCGACCACAUUCCAGCGAGAGAACCACUGAGCCACCACCAUCUUCCUUCCAUCUCUUUCCCCUCUCCAUGCUUUCUCCUUCCUUCUACCAAACAACUACUGACAACCACAACAGCCGCCCAUUUCUUCCUCUUCUCUGGAAAAGUUCAGAGCCGCCGCCACCGACUUUUACUAUUUCUCGCCCUCUCUCCUCCUCUCUUUGUUCAAAAUUUAAAAAUCCAAGAUUAGCUCUUCUACGACGAACUUUGGAGAAAUCCGACAAGAUGAGCAACACAAAUGGAUGUGCUAAUCAUUUCUCACGACUAAAUUUUGGGAUGAUCACAAUAGCUUUGGAUUCACUCAAUUUAUUUUUUGAUUUUCAUUGAAUCUUAAAGAAUUAUCCAUCUCGGGUAUGAUUUUCUCUAUGCUUGAUUACUAUCAUCUCCAAUUUCUUGCUUUGGGCAGAUUCUUGGUUGUUAGAUUUGUGCAUUUUGUUUAAGUUGUCGUGAUUCUUAUUUGUUUACCUCUUUCAACCAUAAUAUGUGAAAAUCCCAAAUUCUCAUGAAAGUAAUCUUAGCGAGAGUUUGUUUCCUGCUUAGAUUAACUUGAUUAUUACUUGUCCGAGGCCUUUGAUUAUUUGCUUUUUCCCAUAAAGUAUGCUUGUAACAACAUUGGUGGUUUUAUUUUGGUCAUUCAAAGCAAUAUAUGUUCAAUACGUGCGUUAUUCUAUCUUUAGUAAAUUUUGAUUGCUAUAAUAAUUUUGGUAAGCUUAGAUUGAUUUUGGGCUUGGUUGAUUCAUUCACUAUAAUUGAGGGUACUUCUUAUCAGCUCAGUGGUUUUGAUUAUUGACUUUCAUUUAACGAUGCGGACAACCUAGUAUGUGAUUGCUUGUGAUAAGUUCUCAGUGAUUUUCUUUCUUUUCCUUUAGCAAAUGUGACUACUUCGUAUGGUAACUUGAGAUUUUACUUACCUUUGAUUGAUACAAUUUGUUCUGUUUAAAGAAAUUAUAGUGCGACUGGUGAUUCUUUCCUAUUUGAUGCCUUAAUUGAUUAAUUCCUUUAGCUAUAUAAACAACACCUUUCUUCAUUAUUUUGGACAGAGUUUUGACCCUUACUAUUACUGACUUUUUACACUGAACAAUAUUUACUCUGCUCUAGACACAUAAAAUAUCUCUUUUGCUUUUGGUCUUGAGACUUCGACUACUACUAUUACGAUAGAUUUUUACUUUGAAAAGCACGGUUUUCUUAUUUAUGUUUUAUUACUUUCACUUCUAAUCGGUUAGUUUUUUCUAACGAUGCAUUAGUUUCUUUUUCUAUUAAUUCUAUGUGAUUAUGAUUUUGUUUUUGUUUGCGUAUUUUAAAUGCUUGAUGUCAUAAGCCUUCUACUCGUUUUUGUGCAUUUCCAAUAUCAAUUGGGUGUUUAUGCUAUUUUCUUUUGUCAACGUGACAUGUUUUGUACCUCUAUUUGCAAUUAAAUAUUUUUCCCACUGGAGUGUUUGUUGUAUGUAAAUUCAAAACGACCUUUCUGCAUCUCAUAACCUUUUUGGCGUGAUUCUUAGGAUCUCAACAGAGCCAAGGGUUGGUUGUGUGUUGUCAAAGAUAUGUUGUGGAUUCGGGAAGUAUUAUAGUGUCUUUGCUUCUGUUCGCAGGUUAAAAGGCAACCAUUCAGAGGAGAGUUCGUUUGGAAUUUUGUGAUUUUGGAGAUUUUCUAAUCUUUUCUUUAUUAUGCCUUGUUUAUAUUUUAUUUAUUUAUUUAUUAUAUUGGUCUGUAAUAUAUGUAUAAACACUGAUAUAUAUAAUGGAAAACGGGGAUUGCUCAUGGGGGGACGAGAUUAUAUGACCUGAAUAUUUGAUAACAAUUGCUUUAUCACUUAGGCAAUAAUUCUAGGAUCAUCAAUUAAAUUCUAUCUCCUAGAAGUCAUGUUUUAGGAUUUCUAAUUAACACACAACAUAUAAAAAUUAAUUUUAAGCAUGUCAAUUUAAUUUAUAGCAUGUUUAGUUAAUUUUCACAUAUUUUUAUCCAUUUUUGCAUAUUUAGUAAUUUUUUCUGCACAUUCAAAGUUUUUAUUCUGUCAUUAUUAAUUUUUUGCACUUUAAGAUAAACUACAUUUUAAACAUUUUUUGUGCAUUGUUUAAUUAAAUUUCUGAGCAGUUCAAUUAUU